rnacentral:rRNA from 1 species
UACGUAGGGCGCAAGCGUUGUCCGGAAUUAUUGGGCGUAAAGAGCUCGUAGGUGGCUUGUUGCGUCUGCCGUGAAAGCCCGUGGCUUAACUACGGGUCUGCGGUGGAUACGGGCAGGCUAGAGGCUGGUAGGGGCAAGCGGAAUUCCUGGUGUAGCGGUGGAAUGCGCAGAUAUCAGGAGGAACACCGAUGGCGAAGGCAGCUCGCUGGGACGGUACUGACGCUGAGGCGCGAAAGCGUGGGGAGCAAACAGG